AAAAUUUCACGUGAACAAGAAAAAGGAAAGAUUCUUCAAACAAAAUGAAGUCCGGAAGUGAAGUCCUCAACACCUAUAAAUUGAGUGUUCUAUGAAGACAGAAAACACAACUACAACAACCAUCUGAAGAAAAACAUACUCUCUUCACCAUUCCCUUCACCUACACCAGAAAAACCAUCCUCCACACCUCUCUUUUUAAAAUAUUUCACUAUAUAUGCUUUAGUAUUUUCUAUCUCAAACAUGUAAAAUAAAUAAAGAUUUAUGCUUUAGUGUGCAAGUUUUUAAGUCCAGUAAACUCUUUCGAGUUUACCGAAAGGGAAAUCCCUCUCCUGUAAACAUCAAACAAAGAGGAUUACCCGAGGUGCACGCAAGCUGAUUCGAAUACCACCUAUGCAUGCAAGCUGAUUCGGAUAUCACCGAUGUACUAAGCUCCCGCUAUGUGCGGGGUCUGGGGAAGGGCUUGACUACAGGGGUCUAUUGUACGCAGUCUUACCCUACAUUUCUACAAGAGGUUAUUUCCACGGCUCAAACUCAUGACCUUCUGGUCACAUGGAGUCAACUUUACCGGUUACGCCAAAAUAUAAAUGACAAAUUUGUGUUCAGAAAGUAAACAGAGACUAGAAAUGAAAACUAUGUAUAACUUUAUUGUUAGCAACAUUUAGCAUUUCUGUCAAGUAGCAGAGAGCUCUACAAUGGACACCAAACUCUGAAUCUGAGCCUAUUUUCUUCUCCAUCA